AUUGAACGCUGGCGGCAUGCCUUACACAUGCAAGUCGAACGGCAGCACGGGUGCUUGCACCUGGUGGCGAGUGGCGAACGGGUGAGUAAUACAUCGGAACAUGUCCUGUAGUGGGGGAUAGCCCGGCGAAAGCCGGAUUAAUACCGCAUACGAUCUACGGAUGAAAGCGGGGGACCUUCGCGCCUCGCGCUAUAGGGUUGGCCGAUGGCUGAUUAGCUAGUUGGUGGGGUAAAGGCCUACCAAGGCGACGAUCAGUAGAUGGUCUGAGAGGACGACCAGCCACACUGGGACUGAGACACGGCCCAGACUCCUACGGGAGGCAGCAGUGGGGAAUUUUGGACAAUGGGCGAAAGCCUGAUCCAGCAAUGCCGCGUGUGUGAAGAAGGCCUUCGGGUUGUAAAGCACUUUUGUCCGGAAAGAAAUCCUUGGCUCUAAUACAGUCGGGGGAUGACGGUACCGGAAGAAUAAGCACCGGCUAACUACGUG
rnacentral:rRNA from 1 species